CAUAAAUCCAUCCUAAAAUCCAUUUACUAAAACUGUUGAUGCUGUCCUUCUUGUUUUGAGCCCAAAGCACUGAAAAACAAAACCAACCCUCCUUCCAGAAAUCAAUGCGAUGACGUGAGGUCCCUCUACAAGUUUGCAAGUGAAAGAGGUUUUGGUUUCAUUUUGUUUUGAUUUGGACAAAAGUCACACAUAAUGGCAGUGCCUCCCGAAACAAGACGCAGAAGAAGCUGUUCCUCAAAAGUUAACUGGAUGAAAACAUGCUAGAAAACGCAACUUCUUGGGGCAAUUUUUGUAAGUUUCCAAAGAAAUGAGUGCUUCCCUCCUACUAUAGGACAAUGUAGCCAUUGCUCUUCUUUAGACUAGACAUUUCUAAUUUGUUCCGUCUGUCAGAAGGGGACUAUGAGAGGGUUUGGUGCAAAUUCAUUAUCUCUGGCAACGCAUAACGUAUAGUAGGAACUGAAAAAGACCAUGGCAAUGGAUGAACAAUAGGGCUUCAGUUCAUCAGCAACAAAAGCGUUGGGGAAAUUGGUUGAAUUUCAGAGCACGUCCUCCUCAGCAGAGAGGGCUGGACUAGACCUUGGCCACCCCCCCCCCCCAAAAAAAAAAACUUGCAAAGCCUCACGUACAACACUUCACUUUCUACUCUGGGGCUUAGGAAGCAAUAUGGAAGAAAAAACUUUUUUUUUCUGUUUCUUCCGUUUUUCUGGAUAGAAGCUCUUUCUAAGUAUUUUAAAACCAACCAUGCAAGAAUUAUACCAUGGAACUAAGCUGCAGUUUCAAAUAAAGGUGAUGAUCUGCAUUUCUGGAGACGUGAAGGAACCCGCUGUCUAUGCUUUAAGGGGGGCUUGACCGUGGGAUCUUUGUUGCAGUCGGAGAUUCAGCCCUUACAUCUAGAUCGGGGGUCAAAUGUUUCUUAUAAGAAAAAAAAUUCAGAUUAAGAAGAAGGAUCACAAGGGAUGGCAAUAAUCAAGAAAUGGAAAAAUGAAGUUUAGAACUGACUCUUGACACGUGAUGCACAUUUGGCAGGAGGCCAAGGCGAAUCAGAAUAAACAACCCGAAGACAAUGCCAAAUUCAGGAAAAUAAAAGUAGCUUAAUAUGAUUUAAUACCAAUAAAGUGGUUAAGAUGAAGUUUCUUAAACUCUUUUAUGGAGGCUGGUUAACAAUGACGUGGAUUUUUGAAGAACAAUUCCAGAGCUUUGACUGAAUGAAAUAUUCUGAAACCAAAAGAAAAGCUUGGUCUUGAUUAUCUAUAUUACAGAUUAGCUUGAAGGAAAUAAUUAUUACCAAUCUGUACCAUAAUAGCUGUACUUAACUGCAAUGUAACAUUUAAGGUCUGUGGAGCAGGGGAUGUCUUUUUGUUCUGGGCCUGUACAGCAUGCAGCACAAUGAGGUUCUACUCCAUGAUUGGGGAUCCUAGAUGCUCCCAUAAAAUAAACAAUAAUACAGUAAUAAUAAUAUUUAUCUUAUUCUAUUUGGAUUGUUGCUUUAAUUUUAUUUUUGAUGAUUUAUCAUUAGCUCUGGGAGCUAAACUCUCAAAGGCUCAUAUAUCAGGUGUGCCACUCCCAAUGCAGAUAUAGUCCUAAGGCCUGACUCUCAUCUUGUAGAAAUAUAAGGCCCCAGUUUGGUAGUCAGAUAUGUGUGAACAGUACCUGGGGACUGUGCAGAGCCCACUGACUUAAGUGGAGGUCCAGACAGGCAUAAAAGUCAACCCACACAGAUCUGAUUGCAGGGAAGCAGCCUUCAAACAGGAGUGACUCUGCUGAAGUCAGAUGGAGUUAGACUUAGGUAAAACAGUGAUGUAAGCAAAAGGGGAAUAGGACCCGUAACACACACACAUGUGCACAUUCAGCCAAAGAAAUAAAACACCUGCAUGUGUAACCCACACACCUUCUGGGUGUGGUGUUCUGUCCCAUCUAAUGGCACUGAGAACACUUAAAGAGAGAGGUAAAAUGAGUCUUCUCUACAACCUUAGCUAAGAGCCAGUUGUCUUUUAGCUCAUGUGGUAGAGGCUCAUGCACUAAGCUCCAGAGAUCCACGGUUCAAUCCUGCCCACUGAUGACAAGGGUCUGUUGGCAUUACACAUGCAUAUGAUACUGAGGGAUACGUAAUGGGUGGAGGACAUUUUGUGUCAUUUUAAAUAUGGCCAUUUUAAUCAGUCCAGUUGUUUACCGACAUCUCUUAGGUGUAAUAAACAAAUAGAUACCAAGGAAAUUGAAGUUGGUUCAUUAGAAACCUUUUCAUUUUUUAUAAUUUUAAAAUUACAAUCAACAGGAAAAACAUACCAGAUUCAUUGCUGAUAGGUGAAGUGUGACUUUUCCAAUAUUUUAAGAUUAUAUUUUAUUAGUUCAAGAAAAAUAUGGUUAUAGAAAAUAUAUAUUUACCACUCCUUAAAAGAUUUUGCAGAAUUUUCUGUCUUCUCUCUGUUUCUUUCACAUUAUAUUUUACCUUUUCUGAUAUUUAUGCUUUUUGUUUCACAUGUUCAGCAAUCACAAUAUAUCUCUUAUACUCAUGGUUUUCAAUCAAAAUAUAUUUAAAAUUGUAUUUAAUAAAUACCUUUAAAAUAGUGUCAACAGAAUUUUAUUUUUGUUGAUAUUUCUGCCUUCACUAUAUGUUGAAAUGUAAUUGGUUUGUUAGGGAUCAAUCCUACAUUCCUAAUUCAAGAUAAAACUUCCAUUGAAAUCAAUGAGAAGUCAAUUGUCUUGAUAUGGAUUUCAAGGUUGAGCCUUUAGCUUAGUUUUAUGAGUGUAACAGAGCCUUAAAUAAUUUUUCUUACUAUUGUCUGUCUGAACAUUUUUUCCACCAGUCUAGUUUAACUGGUGGUGUAAUUAAUAUGUAUAAUUCCAAAUUUUGUAAUAAAAUAAAGUG